CCUACGGGGUGCAGCAGUGGGGAAUAUUGCACAAUGGGCGCAAGCCUGAUGCAGCCAUGCCGCGUGUGUGAAGAAGGCCUUCGGGUUGUAAAGCACUUUCAGCGGGGAGGAAGGCGGUGAGGCUAAUAACCUCAUCGAUUGACGUUACCCGCAGAAGAAGCACCGGCUAACUCCGUGCCAGCAGCCGCGGUAAUACGGAGGGUGCAAGCGUUAAUCGGAAUUACUGGGCGUAAAGCGCACGCAGGCGGUCUGUCAAGUCGGAUGUGAAAUCCCCGGGCUCAACCUGGGAACUGCAUUCGAAACUGGCAGGCUAGAGUCUUGUAGAGGGGGGUAGAAUUCCAGGUGUAGCGGUGAAAUGCGUAGAGAUCUGGAGGAAUACCGGUGGCGAAGGCGGCCCCCUGGACAAAGACUGACGCUCAGGUGCGAAAGCGUGGGGAGCAAACAGGAUUAGAUACCCGGGUAGUC
rnacentral:rRNA from 1 species